UACGUAGGGUGCAAGCGUUUGUCCGGAAUUAUUGGGCGGUAAAGGGCGCGUAGGGCGGCCAUUCAAGUCGGGGGUGAAAGCCUGUGGCUCAACCACAGAAUUGCCUUCGAUACUGUUUGGCUUGAGUUUGGUAGAGGUUGGUGGAACUGCGAGUGUAGAGGUGAAAUUCGUAGAUAUUCGCAAGAACACCAGUGGCGAAGGCGGCCAACUGGACCAACACUGACGCUGAGGCGCGAAAGCGUGGGGAGCAAACAGG
rnacentral:rRNA from 1 species